AUUGAACGCUAGCGGGAUGCUUUACACAUGCAAGUCGAACGAGUGGCGGACGGGUGAGUAAUAUAUGGGAACGUGCCUGGUAGCGGGGGAUAACUACUCGAAAGAGUGGCUAAUACCGCAUACUAUUAGAUCUGCCCAUAUGGGAUUAGCUAGUUGGUGGGGUAAAGGCUCACCAAGGCAACGAUCCGUAGCUGGUUUGAGAGGACGACCAGCCACACUGGGACUGAGACACGGCCCAGACUCCUACGGGAGGCAGCAGUGGGGAAUUUUGGACAAUGGGGGAAACCCUGAUCCAGCCAUGCCGCGUGUAUGAGAAGGCCUUCGGGUUGUAAAGUACUUUUGGCAGGGAAGCGGUAUCUGCAGAAGAAGCACCGGCUAACUACGUGCCAGCAGCCGCGGUAAUAC
rnacentral:rRNA from 1 species